rnacentral:rRNA from 1 species
CGCGGCCUAUCAGCUUGUUGGUGGGGUAACGGCCUACCAAGGCAUCGACGGGUAGCUGGUCUGAGAGGACGAUCAGCCACACUGGGACUGGGACACGGCCCAGACUCCUACGGGAGGCAGCAGUGGGGAAUAUUGCGCAAUGGGCGAAAGCCUGACGCAGCAACGCCGCGUGGGGGAUGAAGGCUUUCGGGUUGUAAACCCCUUUCAGUGAUGACGAAAAUGACGGUAAUCACAGAAGAAGCCCCGGCCAACUACGUGUCAGCAGCCGCGGUAACACGUAGGGGGCGAGCGUUGUCCGGAUUUAUUGGGCGUAAAGAGCUCGUAGGCGGUUGCGUAAGUCGGACGUGAAAACUCAGGGCUCAACCCUGAGAUGCCGUUUGAUACUGCGCUGACUAGAGUCCGGUAGGGGAGCAUGGAAUUCCUGGUGUAGCGGUGAAAUGCGCAGAUAUCAGGAGGAACACCAGUGGCGAAGGCGGUGCUCUGGGCCGGAACUGACGCUGAGGAGCGAAAGCAUGGGUAGCAAACAGGAUUAGAUACCCUGGUAGUCCAUGCCGUAAACGUUGGGCACUAGGUGUGGGACCUACUUAACGGGUUCCGUGCCGUAGCUAACGCAUUAAGUGCCCCGCCUGGGGAGUACGG